rnacentral:piRNA from 1 species
UGCCAUGCUGUGUGCAGUUCUUUCUUCC